UCAGAUUGAACGCUGGCGGCAGGCUUAACACAUGCAAGUCGAGCGGGGAUAGGGUGCUUGCACCUGAUUCCUAGCGGCGGACGGGUGAGUAAUGCUUAGGAAUCUGCCUAUUAGUGGGGGACAACGUUCCGAAAGGGACGCUAAUACCGCAUACGUCCUACGGGAGAAAGCAGGGGAUCUUCGGACCUUGCGCUAAUAGAUGAGCCUAAGUCGGAUUAGCUAGUUGGUGGGGUAAAGGCCUACCAAGGCGACGAUCUGUAGCGGGUCUGAGAGGAUGAUCCGCCACACUGGGACUGAGACACGGCCCAGACUCCUACGGGAGGCAGCAGUGGGGAAUAUUGGACAAUGGGGGCAACCCUGAUCCAGCCAUGCCGCGUGUGUGAAGAAGGCCUUUUGGUUGUAAAGCACUUUAAGCGAGGAGGAGGCUUACCUGGUUAAUACCCGGGAUAAGUGGACGUUACUCGCAGAAUAAGCACCGGCUAACUCUGUGCCAGCCGCCGC
rnacentral:rRNA from 1 species